rnacentral:rRNA from 1 species
CGCGUGAGUAACCUGCCUUGGAGUGGGGAAUAACACAGUGAAAACUGUGCUAAUACCGCAUAAUGCAUUUGGGUCGCAUGAUUCUGAAUGCCAAAGAUUUAUCGCUCUGAGAUGGACUCGCGUCUGAUUAGCUGGUUGGCGGGGUAACGGCCUACCAAGCCGACGAUCAGUAGCCGACCUGAGAGGGUGACCGGCCACAUUGGGACUGAGACACGGCCCAA